UACGAAGGGUGCAAACGUUGCUCGGAAUUAUUGGGCGUAAAGCGCACGUAGGCGGCUUAGCAAGUCGGAAGUGAAAUCCCUCGGCUCAACCAAGGAAGUGCUUUCGAAACUGCUGAGCUUGAGUACGAAAGAGGAUCGCGGAAUUCCCGGGUGUAGAGGUGAAAUUCGUAGAUAUCGGGAGGAACACCAGUGGCGAAGGCGGCGAUCUGGGUCGAUACUGACGCUGAGGUGCGAAAGCGUGGGGAGCAAACAGGG
rnacentral:rRNA from 1 species